AGGUCAUGUUGAGGGAAACUUCUAAUCAAGCCCUUAUAUCUCUCUAAAGCUUUAUACAAUGACUCCCCAACCUCUUGUUGAAAGUUAACUAUCUUCUUUUUGAGCUU